rnacentral:rRNA from 1 species
ACUCAAAUGAAUUGACGGGGGCCCGCACAAGCGGUGGAGCAUGUGGUUCAAUUCGAAGCAACGCGAAGAACCUUACCAGCCCUUGACAUCCCGGUCGCGGAGAGCAGAGACGCACUCCUUCAGUUCGGCUGGACCGGAGACAGGUGCUGCAUGGCUGUCGUCAGCUCGUGUCGUGAGAUGUUGGGUUAAGUCCCGCAACGAGCGCAACCCUCGCCCUUAGUUGCCAUCAUUUAGUUGGGCACUCUAGGGGGACUGCCGGUGAUAAGCCGGAGGAAGGUGGGGAUGACGUCAAGUCCUCAUGGCCCUUACGGGCUGGGCUACACACGUGCUACAAUGGCGGUGACAGAGGGAUGCAAAGGGGCGACCCUUCGCAAAUCUCAAAAAACCGUCUCAGUUCGGAUUGGGGUCUGCAACUCGACCCCAUGAAGUUGGAAUCGCUAGUAAUCGCAGAUCAGCACGCUGCGGUGAAUACGUUCCCGGGCCUUGUACACACCGCCCGU